AUGUCAUUAUCAUGGGAUUGAGUUUGAUUUGGCCUUCUCUCACUCUCUCUUGAGAUUUCUUGCCUUUCUGUCUUCCAUGACAGGAUGAUAAAGCAAGAAAGGCCUCAUCAGGUGCCAAGACCUUGAUAUUGGACUUCCCAGCCUCCAGAGCUAGGCCAAGGUGGGCGGAUCACUUGAGGUCAGGAGUUGAAGACCAGCCGGGUCAACAUGGUGAAACCCUCUCUCUACAAAAAUACAAAAAUUAGCCAGGCAUGGCGGCAGGUAAUCCCAGCAACUCCAGAGGCUGAAGUGGGAGAAUCUCUUAAACCCAGGAGGCAGAAAUUGCCAUGAGCCGAGAUCACGCCACUGCCCUCCAGCCUGGGUGACAGGGCAAGACUCUGUCUCAAAAUAAAUAAAUAAAUAUUACCAAGUCUCAGGUAUUCUCAUGGACUAA
rnacentral:lncRNA from 1 species